rnacentral:lncRNA from 1 species
AUCACCUCCCUCUUAACAUUUUUUUUAGAAUUAAUUGCAUACAGAUUUAUGUAAAUAUAGUGAAUUAUAAAUAUAUUCAUGUAAAGUUAUUUCUGCAAAAGUGGGCCCCAUUUGGUUCGGGGGAUAAAUGGGGAUAACGAAAGUUAUCCCUGCUAUUCUUCCAAACGGGAUGAAAUUUGGCAAGAAUAUUUUAUUCCGGUCAAAUCUUGCUAUUUCCGAUUAUCCCAGAAUAGUAAGGGAUUUGCUAUUCUACCAUUUUGGUGGAAUAGUGUUAUUCCAAUGUUUAAUUUCAAACUUAAUUAAAAUUAUAAAUUAAAUUAAAACUAAAUUAUAUAAAUAUAAUAUGUUAGAUAUUAUAAUACAUUAUUUUAAUUAUAAAAUUAUUAAUUGUACUAUAUUAACACAAAUUAUUUAUAUUUAAAUAUUAUAAUAAAAUUUAUAAUAAAUUAUAUUUAAAUUUUAUAAUUAAUUCUUUUUUUUAAAAUUUAAGUUUAAGUAGAAUUUUUUAAAAAAAUUAUAAAUUUAUUAUAAUAAAUUAUUUUUAUUAA